rnacentral:lncRNA from 1 species
AACACUAAAUACUGUAAGCAGUGCAUGAAACUUGCAGUAUUUUAGUCGGCAUUUAUUUUUUCAUUGGAACACAAAUGACCGUGUUGUCAGAAUACACAGACGCAUUACAAUGUGAACGCGUUUACAGUGGUUUACAAUUUAGAGUGAACAUUAUUGCUUUGUACUUGAAUCAUUUAUCAUACUCUGAAUUAUUCACUGACCUCGGAGCAAGAGCAAAGUGGAAAUAAUUUGAAAACACGCUCACGUUUUUUUUUUUAGUACAACAAAGUUUUUAAAGCAAUUAAUAUUUAACAAGGAGAACAAAGGGAACUAUAAGGUUAAUACUCUCUGCUCCUCAAAAUGCAGUACAUUUAUUCAAAACAGCGGGACCCAGUAGCUAAAGAUGAAAAAAAAUAAUAAUUAAAUGUGUAAAGAUGAUUAAGCAGUGAGGUCACACUGUAAGCCACUGAAUCACAAAACGUAUUUAGCUGACAUCGUACGUAUUGCUUAUGGAGUGAGAAAGCUUUAUCGGAUAUACAUUACACAAUGCAUAUAUACUGUACAUUUUAACGGUAGCACUCAGAAAAUGCCCACGUCUAGCAUGUACCGUACAUCACGCCCCCAAACCGCCGGACGGGCAGGAGAUCGAAGAAUUAAACCCAAACAUUCCAUUGGUGUGGUCGGGUCUUCAGGGUGGUCAGCAGCCCAAACCAGCUUCACUAAAGACACUCGAGUUUUCAGGAAAAUGUUCCCGAGAGUGGAUCGCGUUAAAACCAAGCGCCAGCUGAAGAGGGCCUACGCGGCGGGUCCCUUCCCUCGAUCUGUGUGGAUACACGACAAAGCGCCCGAAGACGACUUGGAUAAAGUCUGCUAUGAAAUAUGGAAGAGGGUUCAGGUGGCGACGGCCGGCUCAUCGGCACGGCCUACCGCUGCAGACAGGGCCCCGGAGCCCACUGACUUGGUCCCGCCGGCGCCGCGGGAGCUUCCGAGCGCGACGGCAGAGCCGGCACCCCCAGCGGGCAGCCGGGACGCACAGCGAGCACGCUGGACGCACCCCGAGCCCGCCGCCGAGGGAGUGGGCUCUGUGGAGAGGAAGAGGAAGAGCAUAGAGGUGUUCCUCCGGGCAGUCCUCCAGGGCAAAGAGGCCGGGAGACCAGAGCAGCUGCCGCAAGGAGCUCUGCCCGCUGGGCUCGGGAGCUCCUGCAGCAGCACGGAGGCCCCAGCUCCCGACAGCAAGGCCUCCCAGGGCCUCUCCCAGUUUCCCGGGAAGUCCUCGGAAUCCGGCCUGGCACGGCCGGGGCAGGUGGAGGUGGCGGGGGGGGCCAAGCUCGCGACGGCUGUCGAGGAAAACGGCGGCUUCAGCUCAGCAGACCGCAGAGAGCAUAGGGGCGGCGAGGGGGUCGGCAGAGGAGCCCCGCCCAGGGGCCCCGUCUCCUCCGGGGCUCCUCUUCAAGGCUCGGCGCAGGGCAGGGGCAGGCUGGCUCCAUUGCCAGUGUUUGCCAAACUGCACGUGGCCACCGACCUGCCAUGCAGACGUCUCCCUGCCAGGACAGGGGAAAAUCAUCAUGUGCAGAAUACAGGUGACAGGCACGCCCACCCAGACAUGUCUGGCACAUUGGGCGAUGGUGCAAGGAAACCAGCAACCCUCAAGGAGAAAGCACUGGAAUAUGAAUUCCUAGAGAGUGCAAAGAGACCAUGGCAAAAGACCGCAGAUCCCACCAGCUCCAAUGAUGUGGCUGCACCUCUUCAGGAGAGCAGGACAGGUGCUGUCAAAGCCCACCCAGGUCCGUGCCCCACACAGACCCGGAACACGCUGAAAUACAGUGGACAGAGCUUCGUCCCAAGUGGUCAGCCCCCCUUUGGCACCAGCCUGCCAGCCGCAGUGCAUCCUGCCCCUGUCCGAAACCCCCCAGGCUUCAGCCAGUACCAGAACUUUUUCCAGCAGCUGCCAGUGAACCACAUGAGCCACCUUCAGGCUGUCAACCCAACCAGAUUUCAGACCAGACCGCAAAUCAGUCCCUUCGGCUUUUCCCCGAUGGCACCUUCCAUGUUCUACCCAUACGGUCUGCUGCCCUUGGGGCAACCAAGGCCCCCGCCUCAGGCAAGUGGGUGCCACCGAGUCCCAGGGGUGCCCCCUGACCCCUCCCACAUGUUCGGGGAUGGGCUACAGCAUCACUUUCCAUCUCUUUACAGUGACAAUUUACAGGAGAUUGGGAAUCUUUUGAGCUUCAGCAUCGGCCGCCCAUAUUUUGCGAGCAGCACAAAUGUUCCUCCAGGGUUCUCUGCAGAUGCUUUCUUCAGGGGACUCAUGUAGACGGACGCCAGGGGACAAGCAGACGCCAUGCGACCAUGCGACCUGUGUAUUGUUUCUUUGUUCCGGCUGGAAGUUUGCUUUCGACUUGGGAGAUGUUGGAAUGGGCAGACAGUGCGCUUUUUGUUUUUCCUUGAUAAAUGUAUAAUGUUAAAGCAGUUUAAAAAGAAAUAAACCUCAUAGAUUGUUGUAAUAAAUCUUUCUCUUUUUUUUUCCCAGAAU